ACGACAAGAACUCUUCUUUUAGAGAGAGAGUGAGAGAGAGAGGGGGCCGAGAAAGAAAGAGAGAGGAGAAAUAACAUCGGUUUAUUUUUGAGAGAGAGGAGAGCAUUCACGGCCGAAGGUAAAUUUGAAUGAUUAUUUUUUUUUUGCUUUGUUUGUGUUUCUCCCAUGUUUGAAUGAGAAUCAAACUAUAUAGAAGAUUAUUUGAUAAAUUUUUAUAUACUUCACUAGGUUCCCUCGUGGCACGAAUUCACGGCUACCAUGGCUUCUUCUUCAAACCAAGUAAGCAUCCUAUUUCGUUGAUUUUAAAUUCGGAUCAAAUAUUUUAAUUCUUUGAAGCAUGUUAUUUUCCACAACAAGUUGAAGCAUGUUAUCUUCGUGAAUAAGGCUAUUAGUUUGAAGCAUGUUAUUUUCGUGUAGUCAUUUUGGUGACAUUGUUUAAUUCGAAUUACUUGUGUUUAAUUAU
rnacentral:lncRNA from 1 species